rnacentral:lncRNA from 1 species
UGUGUGUUUAUGAGGAGUGACUGUGUGUGUUUGAGGUGUGACUGUGUGUGUUUAUGAGGUGUGACUGUGUGUGUUUGAGGUGUGACUGUGUGUGUUUAUGAGGAGUGACUGUGUGUGUUUAUGAGGAGUGACUGUGUGUUUAUGAGGAGUGACUGUGUGUUUAUGAGGAGUGACUGUGUGUUUAUGAGGAGUGACUGUGUGUGUUUAUGAGGUGUGACUGUGUGUGUUUAUGAGGUGUGACUGUGUGUGUUUAUGAGGUGUGACUGUGUGUGUUUAUGAGGUGUGACUGUGUGUGUUUAUGAGGAGUGACUGUGUGUGUUUAUGAGGAGUGACUGUGUGUGUUUAUGAGGAGUGACUGUGUGUUUAUGAGGAGUGACUGUGUGUGUUUAUGAGGAGUGACUGUGUGUUUAUGAGGUGUGACUGUGUGUGUUUAUGAGGUGUGACUGUGUGUGUUUGAGGUGUGACUGUGUGUGUUUGAGGUGUGACUGUGUGUGUUUAUGAGGAGUGACUGUGUCUGUUUAUGAGGUGUGACUGUGUGUGUUUAUGAGGUGUGACUGUGUGUCUUUAUGAGGUGUGACUGUGUGUGUUUAUGAGGUGUGACUGUGUGUGUUUACGACGAGUGACUGUGUGUGUUUAUGAGGACUGACUGUGUGUGUUUAUGAGGUGUGACUGUGUGUUUACGAGGAGUGACUGUGUGUUUAUGAGGAGUGACUGUGUGUUUAUGAGGAGUGACUGUGUGUUUAUGAGGAGUGACUGUGUGUGUUUAUGAGGUGUAACUCUGUGUGUUUAUGAGGAGUGACUGUGUGUGUUUAUGUGGUGUGACUGUGUGUGUUUAUGAGGUGUAACUCUGUGUGUUUAUGAGGAGUGACUAUGUGUGUUUAUGCGGUGUGACUGUGUGUGUUUAUGAGGAGUGACUGUGUGUGUUUAUGAGGAGUGA